CUGGGGGCGGCGGGGGCCUGGGCGGCACGGGGCAGGCACCGGGGACGGGGGCGGUCCGAGACCCGCAGCCCCGACCCGCCCACCUGCCCAGGUGCCCAGGUGCCCGCAGGCCGGGACUCGCCGGGAGGCGCCUUUGGUGCCGCACCAGCCGAGAAACUGCCCCGGGGGCCACGAAGCAGCUGCAGGACCCAGGCUCCUCUGACAUCACAUCAGCACAGAAAGGAAGACCCCACCUCAAUUCUACCAAGUGGGGGUGAAAUUCCAUCACCCUGGCUGGGAGGUGGAGAAAUCUGAUGAAUAACAACAGAAUGAUCAGACUUAACCAGUAAUGACUUACCAAUUCACGUACCUCUAAUAUGAUGCACCAAGAAGGGCACAUCACUUCUGUAAUCGUCUUGCCAAAAAUGCGUCAAUCAGAAAACCCAAAUUGAUUGAUUUCUCAUCAAUCAGAAAACCCCAAUUGUGGGACAUCUUACAAAAUAAUUUUCCCAUACUCUUCAAGUGUCAAGAUCAUCAAAGACAAAGAAAGACUAAAAAUUGUCUAAGAUUCCAGGAGGCUAAGGCAACAGGAUAAACCUACGCAACAUGGGAUCCUAAAUCGGAUCCUGAACCAGAAAAAAAGACAUUGCUUGGAUAAAUUUUUUUUAAGAACCAUCUUUUAUUGAACUAUUUUGUUUAUUUUUUUAAAUUUUUAUUGGAGUAUAGUUGCCUUACAAUGUUGUUAGUUUCUACUGUAUAGCAAAGUGAAUCAGCUAUAUGUAUACAUGUAUCCCCUCUUUUUUGGAUUUCCUUCCCAUUUAGGUCACUACAGAGCACUGAGUAGAGUUCCCUGUGCUAUACAAUAGGUUCUCAUUAUUUAUCUAUUUUAUACUUAGUAUCAAUAGUGUAUAUUGACCCCAAUCUCCCAAUUCAUCCCACCCCCCUUUCCCCCUUGGUAUCCAUGUUUAGAUAACUAAUGAAAUUUAAAUGGAGACUGUAAAUUAGUAAAGAGUAUUGUAUAGAUGUUAAUUUUCUCAAAUAAUUAUAUUACAGUUAUGUAAUAUACUAACAUUAAAAGCUGGA